UCAUGCCCCUUAUGUCUUGGGCUUCACGCAUGCUACAAUGGCCGGUACAAAGGGCUGCGAUACCGCGAGGUGGAGCGAAUCCCAGAAAGCCGGUCUCAGUUCGGAUUGGGGUCUGCAACUCGACCCCAUGAAGUCGGAGUCGCUAGUAAUCGCAGAUCAGCAACGCUGCGGUGAAUACGUUCCCGGGCCUU
rnacentral:rRNA from 1 species